UACGGGAGGCAGCAGUGGGGAAUAUUGCACAAUGGGCGAAAGCCUGAUGCAGCUAUGCCGCGUGUAUGAAGAAGGCCUUAGGGUUGUAAAGUACUUUCAUCGGGGAGGAAAAACAAAACUAAUAAUUUUAUUUCUUGACGUUACCCGAAAAAGAAGCACCGGCUAACUCCGUGCCAGCAGCCGCGGUAAUACGGAGGGUGCUAGCGUUAAUCAGAAUUACUGGGCGUAAAGAGCACGUAGGUGGUUUUUUUAAAGUCAGAUGUGAAAUCCCUGGGCUUAACCUGGAACUGCAUUUUGAAACUGAAAUACUAGAGUAUCGUAGAGGGAGGUAGAAUUCUAGGUGUAGCGGUGAAAUGCGUAGAUAUCUGGAGGAAUACCUGUGGCGAAAGCGGCCUCCUAAACGAAUACUGACACUGAGGUGCGAAAGCGUGGGGAGCAAAACAGGGAUUAGAUACC
rnacentral:rRNA from 1 species